UGAGGAGGACAUAUUUAAAGUGCAAGAUAAGAAAUCACUUCUUCCCCUGGGUUGGAUUCAUAACCUGGAAAGGUCUCCCCCCUACAGAUCUCUGUAGUUUUCUGGAGGAAAGAUGAAAACUUCAAGUAAUAUAUGUGGAAAAAGAAAACUACAUCUUGAAGACAACGGUAAUCUCGAUACAUACCUUUUU